rnacentral:rRNA from 1 species
AGAGUUUGAUCCUGGCUCAGAGUGAACGUUGGCGGCGUGGAUUAGGCAUGCAAGUCGAGCGAUCGUAGCAAUACGGGAGCGGCAAACGGGGUAGGAAUACAUCGGAACGUACCUUUUGGUUGAGAAUAGCGUUGGGAAACUGACGGUAAUACUCAAUAAAGUCGAGAGACCAAAGGUUUACUGCCGGAAGAGCGGCCGAUGCGAUAUUAGGUAGUUGGUGGGGUAAUGGCCUACCAAGCCUGAGAUGUCUAGGGGGUGUGAGAGCAUGGCCCCCACCACUGGGACUGAGAUACUGCCCAGACACCUACGGGUGGCUGCAGUCGAGGAUCUUCGUCAAUGGGCGAAAGCCUGAACGAGCGACGCCGCGUGCGGGAUGAAGGCUCUUGGGUUGUAAACCGCUGUCGGGGGGGAUGAAACCGUAAGGUUGACACACCCCCAGAGGAAGCACGGGCUAAGUUCGUGCCAGCAGCCGCGGUAAUACGAACUGUGCGAACGUUACUCGGAAUCACUGGGCUUACGGGGUGCGUAGGUGGCUUGAUAAGCAGGGUGUGAAAUCCCUCGGCUCAACCGAGGAACUGCGCUCUGAACUGUCGGGCUAGAGUAUGCUAGAAGGUGAAUGGAACAUCCAGUGGAGCGGUGAAAUGUGUUGAUUAUUGGAUGGAACACCAGAGGCGAAGGCGAUUCACUGGGGGCAUAACUGACACUGAGCACGAAGCGAGGGGAGCAGACGGGAUUAGAUACCCCGGGUAGUCUGUCAGUAACGAUGAGACUGAGGGGGGGGGGGGAGCUUGCCCUCUCCCUGCUGUAAGCGAAGCGUAGCUCUCCGCUGGAGAGAGAUGUGGCUCCGCAGGCUGAUCUCGAAGUAGUUGACGGGCUCAACAGCGUGGCCAUGUGCUUCUCGAGCACGGAGACUAACUAAUGGACCGCAGG